rnacentral:rRNA from 1 species
AAUCAACGCUGGCGGCGUGCCUCAGACAUGCAAGUCGAACGCGAAAGUUUCCUUCGGGAACAAGUAGAGUGGCGCACGGGUGAGUAACACGUAGGUAAUCUACCUUUGGAUGGGGAAUAACAACCGGAAACGGUUGCUAAUACCGCAUAAUGCAGCGGCACCUAAUGGUGACAGUUGUUAAAGCGGGGGAUCGAAAGACCUCGCGUCUGAAGAGGAGCCUGCGGCGGAUUAGCAGUUGGUAAGGUAAUGGCUUACCAAGGCGACGAUCCGUAACCGGCCUGAGAGGGCGGUCGGUCACACUGACACUGACAUACGGGUCAGACUCUACGGGAGCAGCAGUCGGGAAUUUGGGCAAUGGGCGAAAGCCUGACCCAGCAACGCCGCGUGAA